UCAAUUGACCCGUUGUGUGAUGAGAUGAGAUAUGAAAGAACAUGUCUAAGGAAUUGGAGUUUCAGAUACUUCAUCAAACGAUUAACGAGCAACUCCCCAUCUGAUUGGAAGAAUAAAAUUCUUCAGCAUAAUAAACAAAAAGUGAUGGCCACAACUGCAGACCACUUAUCUUAAAGAAAGCGUGGAGGACUACUGCAUAUACUGCAACCUUGUCAGUUGUGAAAAGGAAAGUGAGGAUUGCACGAUGGUCCAGUGUGAUUCUUGCAAGAGGUGGGUACAUAUGCCCUGCAUUCCAGAAGGAACAAAUCAUGAAAUCCUCACUGAUGAGGAA